UACGUGGGGUGCAAGCGUUGUCCGGAAUUAUUGGGCGUAAAGAGCUCGUAGGCGGUCUGUCGCGUCGGCUGUGAAAUCCCGAGGCUCAACCUCGGGUCUGCAGUCGAUACGGGCAAACUGGAGUGUUGCAGGGGAGACUGGAAUUCCUGGUGUAGCGGUGAAAUGCGCAGAUAUCAGGAGGAACACCGGUGGCGAAGGCGGGUCUCUGGGCAACAACUGACGCUGAGGAGCGAAAGCGUGGGGAGCGAACAGG
rnacentral:rRNA from 1 species